UUGCUAUCUAACUGGGAGUCUCCUGAGUGAAAGCAUCCAAAGUUCUUCAAAGGUGAAUUACAGGAGAAGGUGAUUCACUCAAUCUAACCAGGAGACUGGGUGUGGAUUCAGUCCCUGAG